GACACGCACUAUUGUGAUUGGCUAAGUGCUUUUGUAACAAGGAUGAGACAGUGAUUUAUGUUUAGCCAGUCGGUGUUUGCAUUCGUGCUUGUUAAAAGGAAUUGGUAUUGUCGCCAUUUGAUUUUAAGGUCGUCUAUGUCUGAGCUGGUGGCCGCCUGGGCCAGGUGGUUAAGACUGAAUAGCGAUGGCCACUCUGUAGAGUGCAAGUGGGAAACUAGGCAAGAAUGCUUCUACGAAUUCUUCUCAUCCGACAUUAUUGCACGUCUGAUCACACUGCAGGAACUUUUUCCUUUAAAUGGAUUUAUAAUUUUUGGAUCACAGCUCCAACCGCUGAACUUAUAAGGAUGAAGCAGAAUGCGUUGGAUUUGCUUGCAACGAUAGAUCUGUAUCUAGCAUUUGAUAUACCUGGGUACCUGCAUGAUCAAGGAAGAGUACUGACGUGAAGUGGCAGCGUUGGGUCCUGUUAGGCUCAGACGAGCGAAGUGGCAGUGAAGCACAGCCGAGCGAAGUGGCAGUGAAGCACAGCCGAGCGAAGUGGCAGUGAAGCACAGCCGAGCGAA